AUUGAACGCUGGCGGAAUGCUUUACACAUGCAAGUCGAGCGGCAGCGCGGGGGCAACCCUGGCGGCGAGCGGCGAACGGGUGAGUAACAUAUCGGAACGUACCCAGUCGUGGGGGAUAACUAUCCGAAAGGAUAGCUAAUACCGCAUACGUCCUGAGGGAGAAAGCGGGGGAUCGCAAGACCUCGCGCGAUUGGAGCGGCCGAUAUCGGAUUAGCUAGUUGGUGGGGUAAAGGCUCACCAAGGCGACGAUCCGUAGCGGGUCUGAGAGGACGACCCGCCACACUGGAACUGAGACACGGUCCAGACUCCUACGGGAGGCAGCAGUGGGGAAUUUUGGACAAUGGGCGCAAGCCUGAUCCAGCCAUGCCGCGUGAGUGAAGAAGGCCU
rnacentral:rRNA from 1 species